rfam:Nelumbo nucifera unplaced genomic scaffold scaffold00142, whole genome shotgun sequence
AGUCCAUGAUGAGGGACCUUCCUUAGUAGUUCUUCGUAACGCUCCCAUGACUCAUAAAAUGACUCUCCGUCCUAUUGAAAGAAGGUGGUGAUAUCAUUCCUCAUCUU